UUCUUAUCAAGAGAGGUGGAGGGACUGGCCCUGUGAAGCCCGGCAACCAUACAGUACAAAACAACUGUAUAGGUGCUAAUUCCAGCAAGACAAACGUUCUUGGAAGAUAAGUG
rnacentral:ncRNA from 2 species